rnacentral:rRNA from 1 species
GAAGUCGGAAUUGCUAGUAAUCGCGGAUCAGCAUGCCGCGGUGAAUACGUUCCCGGGCCUUGUACACACCGCCCGUCACACCAUGAGAGCCGGUAACACCCGAAGUCAGUAGCCUAACCGCAAGGGGGGCGCUGCCGAAGGUGGGAUUGGUAAUUGGGGCGAAGUCGUAACAAGGUAUC